GGUCAAUGUGGGUAAAUGUAAACAAUUUCAUGUCUUUUUUUUCUUUCGACUUUAGAUUUUUUUAUGUUUUCACGGAACAACUUGAAUGGUAUCUUCAAAUGCAAAUAUGAAAUGAUGGCAAUUCUUCUUUAUAAAUAUAAACAAAUAUUUCCCAAAUUGUUUACAUUACUGUCAAAUAUGGCAUGUUUACAAAUACCCCACCAUGUUUGUGUUUUUUUGCAAAUUCGGGGUAAAUGUAAACGGUGGUAUAAAAUUUAGAAUUUCCUCUUUAUCAUAUGGAUAACAACUUGAAAAACGUUCAAGAAGGCGCCCAAUAUGCAUCCUGAGCAGCUCUGAACGUAAUAUUUUUUGUUUUUUUACGUCAAAGGCCGAUUUUGCAACAUCAUCCACUGAAAAUGAUGGUGUUGGCUACUUUAAAAUGUGACUCCGCGGCACUUUAGCAGUAGUAAUUGACUAAAAAUAUGUUAUUUUUAUUAAAACCAAUAAUUUCACCGAAAAUGUAUGUUUAUAUUUACCCCCAGAAUACGUUGUUUACAUUUACCCAUUAUGAAAAAUAUUCUGGGGUAAAUGUAAACACAUGCAAAUCGACAUAAAUGUCCUGUAUUUUAAAAUUUGCUUGUAUCACAUAGAAUCUACAUCAAAAUUAAAAACAAAAAAAUAUUUGCAAAUUAUACUGACUUUAUUGAAUUUGCAAAAAUAUUUAAUUUUUCUGAAAGACUAACGACUUGUUUGGCACUUUAAAAAAUUAUCUUUCACGGAAAAUACGCUCGUCGAAUGAAUUCUCUCUUGACAGCAAUGAGCUUGACGUAUAAGUUAAAAGAUACAUGCGUCCGCGAUUUGUACUUAUGUAUGCAUCAAAUAGAUUUAACUGAAGCUUGUUAUGAGCCAUGUUUUCAUUUACCCCUGUUUACAUUUACCCACAUUGAC